GACGAACGCUGGCGGCGUGCUUAACACAUGCAAGUCGAGCGGUAAGGCCCUUUCGGGGGUACACGAGCGGCGAACGGGUGAGUAACACGUGGGUGACCUGCCCUCAGCUCUGGGAUAAGCCUGGGGAACCGGGUCUAAUACUGGAUAUGACUCCAUGACGCAUGUUGUGGGGUGGAAAGCCUUGUGCGGCUGAGGAUGGGCCCGCGGCCUAUCAGCUUGUUGGUGGGGUGANGGCCUACCAAGGCGACGACGGGUAGCCGGCCUGAGAGGGCGACCGGCCACACUGGGACUGAGACACGGCCCAGACUCCUACGGGAGGCAGCAGUGGGGAAUCUUGCGCAAUGGGCGAAAAGCCUGACGCAGCGACGCCGCGUGAGGGAUGACGGCCU
rnacentral:rRNA from 1 species